CUCAGAGAGGCUCAGGACUCCGUUUCCCAGAAGUCUCCACAAGGCAUCUCCACGGCUGGGCGGAGUAAGGCAGAGCUUUUGCGCAGGCGCAAUGUUCAGCUGGCGCUGGGAGCGAGCUGCGGGCUGCUGGGGGAGGCCAGGGAGAGGCGCACUACGAGAUUUCCCGUCUUUCAGAUUUGCCCGUCCUCGAGAGGACGGUCCAGAGGAAGAGGGAAUGGCUUCUGCGGUUCUGCUGGCCAGGGUCCAGGUGAGUUGGAGGUCUCUUUUCUCCGUAGGAUUGAUUUCACGGGUUCCCGACCAUAGACAGGCAGCUUUCCUGAGUUCUGGUUAAGUGCUGGGGGUGGCAGUUGAUGAGAGUUAGCAGCAAACUCACCUGUCUAGACCUGUGUCUGAGGGUGCCCUCCUUGUCUCUAAUAGUAGAGGUCUAUUGGAGAUGGUCCAUCUCCUUAACUUUACUAUGGAAACUGAGGCUGACAGAGGAAAACUUGUUUUUCCAGCCUUCCCCAAGUCAGUAACAGAGUUGGGGCCUGAGCCCAGAUAACCUGGCUCCCCGGGACCAGCUUGACCCCCAGAACCUCUUCAGAUCCGCCUCUGUCCCUCCUGGGCUCGUCCUCACCCCCAGGGCUUUGUCAAGGUGACCACCAGGCCAGCACGCAUAUGUUUGGUGUUGCAGGAGGCAGUGACGUUCAAGGAUGUAUCUGUGGACUUUACCCAGGAGGAGUGGGGGUGCCUGAGUCCUGUUCAGAGGGAGCUCUACAGGGAGGUGAUGCUGGAGAACUACAGGAACCUGGUCUCCCUGGGUAAGGCCGCCUCCCAGUGAGGCUUUACCUUCAGGAGUCUGGGCUGAAAAGUGAGGAGCGCAGUCUCGGGGCCCUGAGCGCUCAGCUCACGUGGUUCUGAAAGAGAGACGGCUACUCUCCUGGACCCAGACACGCCUCUGCAUCCUCCUGGACUCUCCCCCAGGUCUCGACUCCUGAGGCAGGGACUGCUCUGGCCAGACGUCCGCAGGGGUGGGCCACGCCCCUCCCCCAUAGGAGUGGAACAUUCAGUUUUGCCCCAACAAAUAACCAAACGUUAGGGUGUUGGUAUCGGGCGGGUGGUUGGAGAUUGUCCAUCCUCUGCUGCGCCUUUAUUGUGGUGGAAGAUGAGGUCUAGAAAGGGUGAGCAAUUUCUCCAAGGCGCCGCUGGGAGAGGGGCAGAAGUGUGUCUCGAAACGCUGCCGGACUCCACCCCAGGCCUUUUCCGGCUUCGCCCUAUCACCCCUCUCCUGCCCCUUCCUGGGAACAGAGUCUUCCUGUCGUGGGAGGGGAAUCAAGACUAGUUCUGAGGAC
rnacentral:lncRNA from 1 species